rnacentral:hammerhead_ribozyme from 1 species
AUCCAAGUGACGAGUCCUUAAUAGGACGAAAUGUGCAUCCUAGAU